rnacentral:rRNA from 1 species
UAAUACGGAAGGGGCAAGCGUUGUUCGGAAUCAUUGGGCGUAAAGGGCGCGUAGGUGGUUCUGUAUGUCUAUCGUGAAAGCGUACGGCUCAACCGUAUUUUGUCGGUAGAAACUGCAGGACUUGAGGCUGGGAGGGGCUGGUGGAAUUCCCUGUGUAGCGGUGAAAUGCGUAGAGAUGGGGGAGAACACUCGUGGCGAAGGCGGCCAGCUAGACCAGUUCUGACACUGAGGCGCGACAGCGUGGGGAGCAAACAGGAUUAGAUACCCUGGUAGUCCACGCUGUAAACGAUGGGCACUAGGUGCCGGCGGUCUUGAUCCCGUCGGUGCCGGCGCUAACGCAGUAAGUGCCCCGCCUGGGGAGUACGGUCGCAAGGCUG